AAGACUUCACAAUGGUUUGAUGACUAUGUGCAGGAUGCUGAUUUGAGCCUCUCCCAAUUCUCUAAUAACCUCACUGGAGGUUAACCAGGCAGGGCUCAAUAUAUCUCUUCACCAGUGGCAUAGUUUCUGAUUGCAUGUGACAUCACC
ensembl:misc_RNA